UCCGACUCGAGGACGGAUCGUUAAUAAUUUAAGCGAAUUAUCGAUAAGACCAUUUACUUAUUGUUAAAUGUGCCGUUGGAGUCGGAGUUUUGUCUAUAUAUGUCAAAUUCCGAAAUGGUCAUUUAUCUUGAGCUAUCCUGCAGAUUUGUGGAACAAAGGAUCCUGAAUUCGAUCGAAUCUAUAUUAUAUUAGCUAACGCUCCUUUAAUUUUUUCAUCACUUUCGGCAUUAACGAUAUAUAUGAGACGACGAUAAAACUAAAAGAGGACCCAUAAGUACAGCUAGCUGUUUAUCUGAAAAAAUCAUAUACACAUACGUAAACAAUACCUAAAUAAUUCAUGAGUUUUAAUCGACCAAUCCUAUUUCAUUAAUUCGGCCAAUUAAUUUUGAUGCAAUCGAUGAAUUCUUUUUCUUUCCGAAAUUUAUGAAAAAGAAUAUGUGACGUUAGCGAUCGUCGAUAUAUGAACACGAUAUUAUUCACCGCACGCAUGCGCAGAAAUACAUGGGCACAAUUUAAUGGAGGAUACGCAUCAUGGAUACAUGUAGUAUAAAAUUCUAGGAUUUCUAGGUUGCCCAGGUGGAAACAAGUGGACGCGAGACGCGACUCGUUGUUCCGUAGUGCUCUAUCCUCUAUUGUGUAUCAAUUGCCUGUUACGUACGUGAGCAUAAGAUAUCUGAUAUUGUGACGGUUUAGUUAGCGAGAACAGUAGAUACGCAGCAUUGUUACGAAGCUGCGACCACGAAGCAGAACGGACGGGAGAUUCUCUACGGUGGCGUUAAGUCGGAAGCGUUGACAUGGGGUCCAACAAACGACACAAAACCGAGAAGUCUCGCGAUGCUAAGAAGAAACGUCAUCGCAGUCGCUCGAGAAGUUAUACACCCGAUCGCGAGAAGUCGGAGAAGCAUAGGCACCAUAAGAAACACCGGAGGAAAGAGCGCAAGGAUUAUGACAGCGAUGUUGAAAUUGUUAAUGCUCCACCACCACCAAAAAUAUCAAAGUCGUCACAUCCGUCAACGCCUCCACCACCUGAAAUCUCUAAGCAGCAUAGUCCAUCUCCUGCCAAAGGUGGGGCGUCGCAAACCUCAUUAUCAAUUGAAGAAACCAACAAGAUUCGCGCAAAGUUAGGGUUAAAACCACUGGAAGUGGACAGUACAUCCAAAGAUGACCCUAGUAAAAUCAAAGAUGACCUGGGCGAGUUUUACCAUAAACCUGCACCCAACAAUAGUGAUAAAAUAAAGGCGCAGAAGCUGAGAGAGAAGAUAAGCAUUCAGAAAGAAAAGAGACAGAUUGAUGCAAAUUUGUCGAAAACGAAAACUUUGGGUGAAUGUGAUUCGGACGAUGAUACUCGAGCAUGGAUCAGCAAAUCUAGACAGCUAGAAGAAGAAAAGAAGAAAGCGGAAAUGAGAGCAAAGAUGUUGGAUCAAUUGGAUGAGGAGUUUGGAAUUGGUAAUUUGGUUAAAGAGGAUAUGCAUACUACCCGUAAUGCCGCAUAUACAGGGAAAGAUUUAAAAGGCCUUAAAGUUGAACACAAUAUUGAUACAUUUGAGGAAGGCAAAACUGUAAUUUUAACAUUGAAAGAUCAAGAAGUAUUAAAUGACAGUGGUGAUUUACUUGUAAAUGUGAAUAUUGUUGACAAUGAACGUUACAAACGUAGUGUUAUCAAUAAGCUUAAAAAACCUACGUAUGAUCCAUAUGCUGACGAAAAUUUGGACGAAUAUGGAUUCCCUAAAAAUAAGAUUUUAGAAAAGUACGAUGAGGAAAUCGAUGGUGAGAAAAAAGACAAUUUUGUGUUGGGCACUAAUAAUGCGGUUGAAUUUAAACGACGUCAGAUGGAGACAGUAAAGCAACGUUUAGCGAAUAAAAAAUUGGAAACUCUACAAAUGGCAGAACCGAAAUUAGCAAGCGAAUAUUACAAUGAAGAGGAACUUGCAAAAUUCAAGAAACCAAAGAAGAAGAUUCGGAAAAUUAGAACAAAAAAGAAACUAAAGGCUGAUGAUCUGGUUCCUGUGGAUAAUGAUUAUCUUAGAGAUCUUGGAAGUAGGAGAAAAAAAAGACUGGAAGAUUCAAAGGAUAAUGAUACUUUAGAUGUCGACGAUUUAGAAGCUCCAGAGGAAGACCUUACUGGGAUAAAACUUGAAGAAGACGAUAAGGAAUUAGAGUUACAAUUGGCUUUAAAGAAAACUCAACGUUUGAAGGAGGGACAUUUAUCUGAGAUUCAGAAAACCGUUGAAACAAUAAAGCAGGAAAUUCUUAACUCUGAAGAAAAUCAAUCUGGGAAUAUCGUUCUUAAUUCUACUGCAGAAUUUUGUAGAACUUUGGGUGAUAUACCUACUUAUGGACUCGCUGGAAAUAGAGAGGAAAAUGGACAAGAACUCAUGGAUUUUGAAGUGGACGAAAUUAAAGAUGAGCCACCUGCAAACGAAGAAGAGGAUGAUGGCCGUGGUGCCUGGAACACAGUACAUUUAGACGAGAACAUUUCGGAACCAGUUGUAAUGGAGGCAGCAAUUCUAGAUGCCGAGCCAUCACUCGGUCAUGGGGUAGGUGGAGCUUUAAAAUUAGCUAUGAGUAAAGGUUACUUGCAGAAAGAGGACAGCAAUCGCCCCUCGGCGUCACGAUUUGCACAUUUGCAAGCUCAGAAUUAUUCAAUAGAGGACAAGACAUACGGUUAACAGUUUUAAAUAGAGCCCGGAAAUCGGUGCUCGGAACGGGUGAUCCGCUACCACUACGAGAGUUUACCGCUUAAUCGGAGGUGAACACAAGGCCUGAGAAGAGAGUAGGAUUUGUUAAGGGAUGACGACAAGUUUGGCAGAAGAGAUCGCUUUAACGGACCAACAUCCGAUUUUAAGGAAAAAGACGGAUUCAAACCAAACGUUAAGCUGGAAUAUAUUGAUGAUGAUGGACACGUUUUGUGCGCUAAGGAA
rnacentral:misc_RNA from 1 species